AACAAACAGGGACGUGCUGUUGGACGAGCCUCUGCUGUACAAUGGCAUCAACGUACAAUUUGCAUGGUGAAUCCAUAAAGAAGACUUAUAGAGGCGAGAUCACGUUGGAAGUUCUCAAACCCGAAUUUCCACGUACCUUGCCUAAUUCAUUCAGAGGUUUACUAAGCUACUGAUCUGCUUUCUAAGUGCUUUCUAAGUCCUCAAAUACAGCUUGUAAGGCUGAGCCUAUAUAUUAAGGGCUGGUGUCGUCAAAGCUGUAAUUUCUUAUCCAGAGCAUACGCACUUGCAAACGCAGUCUUCAGUCUCCUCAUGAAUGUUUACGCGUCGCUGUCGCACGACCAAGAUGUGAGCGUCUUUAUCGAGCCAUGAUAUCGCUGAAACUACGCUGUGACCUCGCAAAGUUGCUUCGUUCGGACGCAGCGAAUAAUCUAAUCGCACCAGCAGAAGAGCGCCGAUCGUCUCGCUCACGGUCCCGAUUUGUGUACUGUACCCUCAGUGAUGCAGCACAGACUGCGCCCCCCACCCCAAAAUAAAAUGCCCGGCACGAAACGUAGUAGCAACUACCCGCCUCACCGCUCUAGUUAGAGACCACAACGAAGCAGCAGCAAACAGGCGGCCAUGCGAGCAAGCAAACCUGUCAGAAUAAACGUUCAAUUUGCGCGGCCGCCCCAUGCCCAAUGAAAAGCGACCGGAAGUGACGGCCGACGCUGUACCAUCACUUCGGCGCGCGGCAGGACGGGAAGGCGGAAGCUGCGCCAUCAUGCUCGUUUUCGCGUGCGUUCGCGUCGCGCGCUGUGCGAAGUAAUUUUAAACGUGUGAUUAGUUUUGCGCGCGGGGUAGAAAAAGAUGUGGCCCAUGCUUUGUGUAUUACUCGUGCCCCACUUCAAAGCAAAGCGUUCGUACGCACUGGAAGAUGGAUCCACGAAGGCUGAAACGAGAAGUUGCAACGUGCCCGGUCGGUAGUACUGGCAUGAUGGAAACUUUCAGCGAGUGUUCCCGCCUGAAAGCCGAGUUUGGUUUCAAGCCACCCUGGACAACUGCUGUAUGAGGCGCCGUUUCUCGGGAGGACCAGUGGGAAGGCGCCAAGUCAUGCAGAUGGUAGCAGCAAUUUCAGAAUGCCCAGCCUUGGCGCCCCCCAUCAAGAGCAAGCCACUUGCGUUCGCCUUCAGACAGAUGGUUAAUGUCUUCUUGAAAGUGGUUGAGAAGACAGCAUUGAUGCAAGAUUCCAGCAAUGCCAUGCGCUGCAUUUAUUGGUCAAGAUGCUCAGAGAAUGGAGUCCCUGCACCUCGUGGUUAACCGUGAACAUUUCUUUUUCUUUUGGAAAGCUAAAGGCCAUUUGCUGCAUCACUUGCAUUUUUGCAGCUCAGAUGUGUACUAUAUUUUUCUAAUUUUGAAUCAAUAUUGGCUGUUCAGUAUAAAAAAUGACGUACAGCGUGAAGGACAAGGACUGCGAGAGACACACUCCACUGACUUUCAACAAUAUUUUAUUGCGUUGCCACAUCGUGUGUGUAUACACAGAGGGGUCAUGCGCAGAAAAUGAAAGCCAGUCACAAGGGGUGUUCUAACAGCAAGUCUUGU